GAACGACUCUCGGCAACGGAUAUCUCGGCUCUUGCAUCGAUGAAGAACGUAGCGAAAUGCGAUACUUGGUGUGAAUUGCAGAAUCCCGUGAACCAUUGAGUCUUUGAACGCAAGUUGCGCCUUAGGCCGUUAGGUCGAGGGCACGUCCGCCUGGGUGUCACGCGU
rnacentral:rRNA from 1 species